GGGUUGUGAGGUUAAGCGACUAAGCGUACACGGUGGAUGCCCUGGCAGUCAGAGGCGAUGAAGGACGUGCUAAUCUGCGAUAAGCGUCGGUAAGGUGAUAUGAACCGUUAUAACCGGCGAUUUCCGAAUGGGGAAACCCAGUGUGUUUCGACACACUAUCAUUAACUGAAUCCAUAGGUUAAUGAGGCGAACCGGGGGAACUGAAACAUCUAAGUACCCCGAGGAAAAGAAAUCAACCGAGAUUCCCCCAGUAGCGGCGAGCGAACGGGGAGCAGCCCAGAGCCUGAAUCAGUGUGUGUGUUAGUGGAAGCGUCUGGAAAGGCGCGCGAUACAGGGUGACAGCCCCGUACACAAAAAUGCACAUGCUGUGAGCUCGAUGAGUAGGGCGGGACACGUGGUAUCCUGUCUGAAUAUGGGGGGACCAUCCUCCAAGGCUAAAUACUCCUGACUGACCGAUAGUGAACCAGUACCGUGAGGGAAAGGCGAAAAGAACCCCGGCGAGGGGAGUGAAAAAGAACCUGAAACCGUGUACGUACAAGCAGUGGGAGCACGCUUAGGCGUGUGACUGCGUACCUUUUGUAUAAUGGGUCAGCGACUUAUAUUCUGUAGCAAGGUUAACCGAAUAGGGGAGCCGAAGGGAAACCGAGUCUUAACUGGGCGUUAAGUUGCAGGGUAUAGACCCGAAACCCGGUGAUUCAGCCAUGGGCAGGUUGAAGGUUGGGUAACACUAACUGGAGGACCGAACCGACUAAUGUUGAAAAAUUAGCGGAUGACUUGUGGCUGGGGGUGAAAGGCCAAUCAAACCGGGAGAUAGCUGGUUCUCCCCGAAAGCUAUUUAGGUAGCGCCUCGUGAAUUCAUCUCCGGGGGUAGAGCACUGUUUCGGCAAGGGGUCAUCCUGACUUACCAACCCGAUGCAAACUGCGAAUACCGGAGAAUGUUAUCACGGGAGACACACGGCGGGUGCUAACGUCCGUCGUGAAGAGGGAAACAACCCAGACCGCCAGCUAAGGUCCCAAAGUCAUGGUUAAGUGGGAAACGAUGUGGGAAGGCCCAGACAGCCAGGAUGUUGGCUUAGAAGCAGCCAUCAUUUAAAGAAAGCGUAAUAGCUCACUGGUCGAGUCGGCCUGCGCGGAAGAUGUAACGGGGCUAAACCAUGCACCGAAGCUGCGGCAGCGACGCUUAUGCGUUGUUGGGUAGGGGAGCGUUCUGUAAGCCUGCGAAGGUGUGCUGUGAGGCAUGCUGGAGGUAUCAGAAGUGCGAAUGCUGACAUAAGUAACGAUAAAGCGGGUGAAAAGCCCGCUCGCCGGAAGACCAAGGGUUCCUGUCCAACGUUAAUCGGGGCAGGGUGAGUCGACCCCUAAGGCGAGGCCGAAAGGCGUAGUCGAUGGGAAACAGGUUAAUAUUCCUGUACUUGGUGUUACUGCGAAGGGGGGACGGAGAAGGCUAUGUUGGCCGGGCGACGGUUGUCCCGGUUUAAGCGUGUAGGCUGGUUUUCCAGGCAAAUCCGGAAAAUCAAGGCUGAGGCGUGAUGACGAGGCACUACGGUGCUGAAGCAACAAAUGCCCUGCUUCCAGGAAAAGCCUCUAAGCAUCAGGUAACAUCAAAUCGUACCCCAAACCGACACAGGUGGUCAGGUAGAGAAUACCAAGGCGCUUGAGAGAACUCGGGUGAAGGAACUAGGCAAAAUGGUGCCGUAACUUCGGGAGAAGGCACGCUGAUAUGUAGGUGAAGCGACUUGCUCGUGGAGCUGAAAUCAGUCGAAGAUACCAGCUGGCUGCAACUGUUUAUUAAAAACACAGCACUGUGCAAACACGAAAGUGGACGUAUACGGUGUGACGCCUGCCCGGUGCCGGAAGGUUAAUUGAUGGGGUUAGCGCAAGCGAAGCUCUUGAUCGAAGCCCCGGUAAACGGCGGCCGUAACUAUAACGGUCCUAAGGUAGCGAAAUUCCUUGUCGGGUAAGUUCCGACCUGCACGAAUGGCGUAAUGAUGGCCAGGCUGUCUCCACCCGAGACUCAGUGAAAUUGAACUCGCUGUGAAGAUGCAGUGUACCCGCGGCAAGACGGAAAGACCCCGUGAACCUUUACUAUAGCUUGACACUGAACAUUGAGCCUUGAUGUGUAGGAUAGGUGGGAGGCUUAGAAGUGUGGACGCCAGUCUGCAUGGAGCCGACCUUGAAAUACCACCCUUUAAUGUUUGAUGUUCUAACGUUGACCCGUAAUCCGGGUUGCGGACAGUGUCUGGUGGGUAGUUUGACUGGGGCGGUCUCCUCCUAAAGAGUAACGGAGGAGCACGAAGGUUGGCUAAUCCUGGUCGGACAUCAGGAGGUUAGUGCAAUGGCAUAAGCCAGCUUGACUGCGAGCGUGACGGCGCGAGCAGGUGCGAAAGCAGGUCAUAGUGAUCCGGUGGUUCUGAAUGGAAGGGCCAUCGCUCAACGGAUAAAAGGUACUCCGGGGAUAACAGGCUGAUACCGCCCAAGAGUUCAUAUCGACGGCGGUGUUUGGCACCUCGAUGUCGGCUCAUCACAUCCUGGGGCUGAAGUAGGUCCCAAGGGUAUGGCUGUUCGCCAUUUAAAGUGGUACGCGAGCUGGGUUUAGAACGUCGUGAGACAGUUCGGUCCCUAUCUGCCGUGGGCGCUGGAGAACUGAGGGGGGCUGCUCCUAGUACGAGAGGACCGGAGUGGACGCAUCACUGGUGUUCGGGUUGUCAUGCCAAUGGCACUGCCCGGUAGCUAAAUGCGGAAGAGAUAAGUGCUGAAAGCAUCUAAGCACGAAACUUGCCCCGAGAUGAGUUCUCCCUGACCCUUUAAGGGUCCUGAAGGAACGUUGAAGACGACGACGUUGAUAGGCCGGGUGUGUAAGCGCAGCGAUGCGUUGAGCUAACCGGUACUAAUGAACCGUGAGGCUUAACCUUACAACGCCGAAGCUGUU
rnacentral:rRNA from 1 species